UACGAAGGGGGCUAGCGUUGCUCGGAAUCACUGGGCGUAAAGGGCGCGUAGGCGGGUCUUUAAGUCAGGGGUGAAAUCCUGGAGCUCAACUCCAGAACUGCCUUUGAUACUGGCGAUCUCGAGUCCGGGAGAGGUGAGUGGAACUGCGAGUGUAGAGGUGAAAUUCGUAGAUAUUCGCAAGAACACCAGUGGCGAAGGCGGUUACCUGGGGUUGUUCUGACGCUGAGGAGCGAAAGCGUGGGGAGCAAACAGG
rnacentral:rRNA from 1 species